CAGUCGCCACGGGAAUACGUAGGGUCCGAGCGUUGUCCGGAAUUAUUGGGCGUAAAGGGCUCGUAGGCGGUUUGUUGCGUCGGGAGUGAAAACCCAGGGCUUAACUUUGGGCUUGCUUUCGAUACGGGCAGACUUGAGGCAUUGAGGGGAGAACGGAAUUCCUGGUGUAGCGGUGAAAUGCGCAGAUAUCAGGAGGAACACCGGUGGCGAAGGCGGUUCUCUGGCAAUGUUCUGACGCUGAGGAGCGAAAGUGUGGGGAGCGAACAGGAUUAGAUACCCCGGUAGUCCCUGUCUCUUAUAC
rnacentral:rRNA from 1 species